UGGGGAAUUUUGGACAAUGGGCGAAAGCCUGAUCCAGCCAUGCCGCGUGAGUGAAGAAGGCCUUCGGGUUGUAAAGCUCUUUUAGUCGGAAAGAAAGAGUUGCAAUGAAUAAUUGUGAUUUAUGACGGUACCGACAGAAAAAGCACCGGCUAACUACGUGCCAGCAGCCGCGGUAAUACGUAGGGUGCGAGCGUUAAUUGGAAUUACUGGGCGUAAAGGGUGCGCAGGCGGUCUUGCAAGUCAGAUGUGAAAGCCCCGGGCUUAACCUGGGAAUUGCGUUUGAAACUACAAGGCUAGAGUGCAGCAGAGGGGAGUGGAAUUCCAUGUGUAGCAGUGAAAUGCGUAGAGAUGUGGAAGAACACCGAUGGCGAAGGCAGCUCCCUGGGUUGACACUGACGCUCAUGCACGAAAGCGUGGGGAGCAAACA
rnacentral:rRNA from 1 species